CUUGAGUGAGUAACUGAUCUCCUUUGAACACACUUCAGAAUUUAAGUUCUCAGUAAAAGAUGUCUCAAAUGCUGAUUGGUAUCUUUCUAACUGAGGAAAAACAUUUCAUAAGAGAUGUUAUAUUUAUUUAUUGACCACAGAAUGUAAAAUCUUCCAUAUUACCAUUUUCUUACAAAAAUAGUAUUACACUUUCAACACUAAAUCUUUUUUCUAUUUAUUUUCUCUAACUGAGAGAGAUUACAGCUGUAUCAUAUCUAAGAAGAACAAUGUCUACUACCACAAACAAUUUUGUCUAGAAUCUUCCCCUCAGCUGGGCGCAGGAAAAUCUAUUCAACUUGAACAAGACUCACAUAAAAGAUUGACUUCUCCCGUAUCAUCUGCCCUGAACACUUAGGUCCUCAGGGGGAAGUUCAUUGCAACCAACUAGAACCCAACUUGAAACUGUCACCUAGAGGACCUUUUCAUCAGCUUCCCCAG
rnacentral:lncRNA from 11 species